rnacentral:lncRNA from 1 species
GGAAAAGAAAAAGUGAAACAAAAAAUUGAGCUUUAGUCUCAACAGCGCUCGCUCCUGAGUUAUCUCAGCUCUACCAGCAGGGGUAGCUGGUUCACCCCCAAGAGAAUCCAGACUCCUCCUUGCCCAGUGAAGGUUCUUGUAAGUGGAUUCAUACCACGUAGCUCCUCUGGAAGCAAGGUCAACUCCAGGUCAACUAGAUCCUGGUCUUCUGUUUCGCUCUGCGAAGGCUGCAGCAAUGGAGCUGUGCUGUCUGUCAACACCCUCAAGGGAUGGAAUUCUGUGAGUCAAGAACCCAACAGGAGCUCAAAUGUGGAGUGUGAUGGAACAGAUUCUAAAAGGAAGAUGAGAAUCCUUAACUGUAUAUUUCCUAGAAAAUUUUUGAUAAGAAAUACUUGGAAGGCUGAGGUAAAUGAAGCAUCAUAGUUUCGAGGUCAGCCCAAACUAACACAGGAAAAUCCUGUCUCAAAACAUCGGAAAAAAGAGCCUGGCAGUUGUGGUGCACACCUUUUGUCCCAGCACUCAGGAGGCAGAGGCAGGUCCCGGUGAGUUCAAGCCCACCCUGGUCUACAGAGCAAGUUCCAGGGCAUCCAGAACUACAUAGAGAAAAACCAUACUGGAUUGGGGAGGAGAAAGACAUGUGGCUAACAAUAGCUAGAUGGGAGGGGCUCACACAGCCUGGGCUCUCCCUGAUGAUAUAAUUGGCAGUUAGCAUUGCAGGGGGAGGGAUACCCAAAUCCCCAGAUGCUCAAGUCCCUUAUAUGAAACGGCAUAGAGUUUGUAUCGAAUCUCUCUAGAUUACUUACCACACCUAAUACAAAGCAGAUGUGAUAUACAGUCACUUUACUGUAUUGUUUAGGGAACAAUGAACAAGAGAAAAGUGUGUACAUGUUCAACACAAAAGCAACUUUCGCACAUUGGAUUUUUUUUUGUUGUUGUUUGUUUUUUUGUUUGUUUGUUUGUUUGUUUGUUUUUGCCCGGGCCAGCAGGGCUGCAAUGAGAACCCAAAUCUCGAAGGACCUGGAAUGAAUAGGAACAAGAGACGAAAGGAUGACAAGACAGGAUUUCUGAUCAAACUGCAAAAUGUUAUUUUUCUCAGCAACCUUAUAUAGCGGUUGAAGUGGAAGCGUGAGGGGCGAGAAUUCAGCAGGGAGAGGCCAUUUGCCUGAUAACCAAACCGCAGAAUGUCCCUGUGCUUGAGUCCUUGAAGGCAAGCAGAGUGCAGGAUGCUAUGCUAGCAAGGUCGAUAGUGCAGGUGCAGAUAAGGCAAGAGGAGAGUGAAUGAGAGGUAGGGUUGCUAAGUAACCUGACCUUGGAAUGUUUCUUUCGUUACUAUUAGCUACUUCUAUAAGCCCAGGUGCUAUUUAUCAGGAAGUUGGGGAGGGAAAGAUUGAUUGGGACUGAAGGUAGCCAUUCUUUUAACAUAAUGGGCUACUCCAAAAAACUGCUGGCAAUCUGCACAAGAGGUCCUAUACAGCAAUGAUCGUUCCUGGCAAUUUUUUAGGUUUUUAGAGACAGGGUUUCUCUGUGGCUUUGGAGGCUGUCCUGAAACUAGCUCUUUUAGACCAGGUUGGUCUCAAACUCACAGACAUCUGCCCGCCACUGCCUCCCAAGUACUGGGAUUAAAGGCAUGUGUGCACCACCACCACCAGGCAAACAUUGGAAUUUUUAAAAUGCAUUUUAUUCAGGAGAUGUUGUCCCUUUCUCCUUCUCCAGGGGACCAUGUAUGUCUCUCUCAGGGUCCUCCUUGCUUCCCAGCUUCUCUGAAGGCGUGGAUUGUAGGCUGGUUAUCCUUUGUUUAAUAUCUAAUAUCCAUAUAUGAGUGAGUACAUAACCAUGUUUGUCUUUCUGUGACUGGGUUACCUCACUCAUGUUUCUUCUAGUUCCAUCCAUUUGCCUGUAAAUUUAAAGAUUUCAUUUUUUUUCUGAUGAAUAGUACUCACUGUGUAAAUGUACCACACGGGGUGGGG